rnacentral:sRNA from 1 species
UUCGCCGAUUUCCAAACUUUCGGGAAGUAUCCAAUAAUGACUGGCUACGGUUUAUAGUCGAAUAGCACAUCAGCCGCAACACAGUUUGACCGCAAGUCCUUUGCCCGAAAUUGUCCUCGUACGGGUGUAUCUUUGUGUGUACAAAGUAUUGGUCGUGAUCGAUAAAUGUGUGUUCACUGAGCGGAAAUAACAGGCACCCAGAGCAAGUUAAGAGUUUGGACAAGCUACCUUGUUUCGAAUAAUCCAUAAUGAUGGUGUAUAACGUGAUACCUUUAAAGUUCUUACUUACGUCGGG